UGAAAUGGUGUUCUUUUGGUCAAGGAGU
rnacentral:piRNA from 1 species